CCCUUGUCCCCCUCCUAUAUAUUCUAUCACUAGAGCCACACGCUUAAAAUUUGCACAAACUCUGAUAUCAAGGGGAUACAAAUUAAUAACCAGGAACACAAACUAGCGCUGUUUGCUGACGAUGUUUUGAUAUCAAUAGCAGACCCAGAGAGUUCACUACCACACCUUAUGCAUACCCUUAAGGAAUUUGGCCUAGUGUCUCACUAUAAACUCAACCAGGAUAAAACCCAG